GGGGGUAUAGCUCAGCCGGGAGAGCACCUGCCUUGCAAGCAGGGGGUCAGCGGUUCGAUCCCGCUUAUCUCCACCA
rnacentral:tRNA from 1 species